UUUUUUUUUCUUUUAUUAUAAGUAACAAAUUAUGAUCAUAAAGAUCUAGAAAGUUAUUUCUUUAAUUUUUGGAAGAUAAAAUUAUAAGUAAAUAAUUAAUAGGAUAACUAAGUAUCUAAUAAGACUAACAUCUAUGGUUGCUAAUUGCACAUGGAGGAGGAAAAGAAACUAGAAAAUUCUCUGUAAACCAUUACCAUGUAAAGCAGAAAGCAAGAAAAUGAUCUCAUCAUCACUCCCAUCAUAGUGAUCGAUCUGAUCUUGAAGGCUAUGGAAAUCAGCAACAAUCUCAUCAGGCAAGACCUUUGUUCUGCAAAGAGGGCAAGUAGCCAAAUAUUGCUGAAGCCAUUUGUCAAGGCAAUCUUUGUGAAAUGUGUGUUUACAUUUCAAUUUCCUAACACUUUCUCCUUCCAAAAAUUCCGAUAAACAAACUGCGCAUUCUAUUACCGAUUGCUGCCUCAGCUUUUCUGUAUAAAGAAUUGCUGGAUUUUUCUCUUCAAUUAACUGGAGAUAUUGAACGGUGCUUAUUACGCUUCGCUUAUCCGAAUUCGUGAUGCUUCCGGUGAUCGACCGGAAAAGAAUUACGGCUUCGAGGGCGAGGAGGCAGAAGGAGACUAUGGCUACGGUGUAGAGACGAGAGAGGAUUUCUGAGAGAUUUGCCAUGGCUGCUGAGGAAGGAAGAAACUAGCAUGGGCGAGGGAAUUAUUAUUAUUAUUAUCAUUUUCUCAAUGAAAAAAUCUUAUGUAGCAGUACUGAGUGGCAGCUCGGCUCAAUUCAUCUGAUCAUUUAUGUUUCCUUCACCUCUUGGGUUUAUCGAAUUU
rnacentral:misc_RNA from 1 species